rnacentral:lncRNA from 1 species
UUGGAGGUCCUAUAGAAUGUUGCCACUUAACUCUUAGAUAGAUAGUAUAUGUAGAGGCAAGAAUGAAGCCUUUUCGAUUCUUAUCAAUUCCUUACUUACUUCUAGUUUAGUUUCAAGAGUCUUUAAUUUUCUUAUCUUUUGACAAUAGCCAUUCUAGUUUCUUUUUAAUAUACAUACUUCCUUAUUUCUAUUUUGUCAUAUUUCUUUGAA